rnacentral:tRNA from 1 species
AGCUUGAUAGCUCAGUUGGUAGAGCUCUGGACUCCAGAUCCGGGUGCGCAAGUUCGAGUCUUGCUCAGGCUA